CAGCCCCGCAGCCGUUCUAUUUCUGUCCCGUGACUCAGGGAUUUCGGCAGCCGUGUCCCAUGACCGCGCCGUGACAUCUUUCCGGUCACUCCGAUGGGAGAUCUGACGGAGCCCCACGCACGGCCACGGGGUCCCCCCGCAGCGCUGAUGGUUAUCGCCUCGCUCGGCAGCGCAGAUGUGGCCCCAUUGGCGGCGCAGACGCGGCCCUAUUGCGGAGCUGUCACCGCUGUCCCCCCCACACUCCCCCCCCUCCGGCUGCCCCCAGCUCUGCCCUGACCCCCAUCGUGCGCUCAGCUCUGAAUCCCCAUCGCUCCAUCCCCUUUGGGUCAGCUCUGCUCCGAGCAGAACCGUCGCUGCCAUCGGCCGCUCCGUCGAUGAGGCGGCUGUCAGCAACACGUGGCCCGAUGUCACCGUUGUCCCCGUUGUCACAGCACCCAGCGGCGUUUGCGGCAUCUCCCGCUUUCCGCUUCCCCAUCCUGGUGUGACCGACCCUUCCCCGAGCCAACGCUCGGCCUCACGGCAACUAAUUGCUUCCAGUCGUUUGCAAAACAACAGCAGGCGACGAGCAGGAAAACCCCGGGAGAGGAGAGCGGCUUUGGUGCGCUCCCAGCGCCGUCACACAGCGACGGUUUCUGCGCCCCAGGGCUGGGAGACCCACAGCUCCAUCCCCACGCAGAGCUCGGCCGGGACAUUCCUGUGCACACCGUCGCAUUUCUGGGCGUGCAAAACCGCAGCGGCUCACGCACACGCGGGUGCGAGCACACGCACGUCUGUCCCUGCACGCCCAUGGGAACGAAUGCAUCCGUGCGCCCGCAGCUCCGUCCCUGCAUGCCUCGCACACGCCCCGUGCCACACACCCACACCCUGCAGCCCCCCCCUGCAAAAGCGUCCCCUGCGGGGUGGCCCUGCUGCAGAACGCGGGCUGCUGAUGGAGCAACCUUGCACGGCCCCGCUGCUGCUCCCGGGGGGCGGUUUGCAAAACCAUGCAGGAUUUCCUGCAGGAAAACUUCGUUGCAGCACGGCGCCAAGGCGCGCGGUGCUCAGUGCGUGUGCACACCGCAGGCAGGGCCGUGCUUGUGCGACGGUGCACGGUGUGUGCAAGUGGGCGUGCAUGGAGGGGGGGGGUGUGUUUAGAGGUGCACGUGUGUGUAUUUCGGCCUGCAGGUGUGUACGUCUGCGUGCAGGCGUGUUGUGUGCUUCUGCACACGCGGAUGUUGAGCUGUGUGGGUGUGCCCGAGGGGUGUGCAAGUACGUCUGUGUGUGUGCAGAUACGUGCACGCUGCAAGGGAUGUGUGUGCACACGAGCGAGCUGCAGGGCUGUGCAUGCGUGUCACAGAGCUGUGUGUGCAGGCACACGUGUGUGCAUAGGCUCACGUCCCAAGGGGCGUGCGAGCAGCCGUGUGCGUCCAUGUGUGCCCGUUCCAAGGCUGUGUGUGCACAUACACGUGUGCAAGCUCCAGGGCUGC
ensembl:lncRNA